rnacentral:rRNA from 1 species
UUAAGUUAGUAAGGGCGCACGGUGGAUGCCUUGGCACUAGGAGCCGAAGAAGGACGUGACAAACGACGAAAUGCCUUGGGGAGCUGUAAGUAAGCGUAGAUCCAGGGAUGUCCGAAUGGGGGAACCCAAUAGGUAGAUACCUAUUACCCGUAUCUGUUAAGGAUAUGAGGAGGAAGACGCAGUGAACUGAAACAUCUAAGUAGCUGCAGGAAGAGAAAGCAAAAGCGAUUGCCUGAGUAGCGGCGAGCGAAAGGGCAAGAGGGCAAACCGAGAAGUUUACUUCUCGGGGUUGUAGGACUGCGAUGUGGAUUUAAAGAUUAUAGAAGAAGACCUUGGGAAAGGUUGCCAGAGAGAGUAAGAGCCUCGUAUUUUAAAUAAUCUUUAUACCUAGCAGGAUCCUGAGUACGGCGGGACACGAGGAAUCCCGUCGGAAUCUGGGAGGACCAUCUCCCAACCCUAAAUACUCCCUAGUGACCGAUAGUGAACCAGUACCGUGAGGGAAAGGUGAAAAGCACCCCGGGAGGGGAGUGAAAGAGAACCUGAAACCGUGUGCCUACAACAAGUUCGAGCCCGUUAAUGGGUGAGAGCGUGCCUUUUGUAGAAUGAACCGGCGAGUUACGUUAUGAUGCGAGGUUAAGUUGAAGAGACGGAGCCGUAGGGAAACCGAGUCUGAAGAGGGCGGUAUAGUAUCAUGAUGUAGACCCGAAACCAUGUGACCUACCCAUGAGCAGGUUGAAGGUGAGGUAAAACUCACUGGAGGACCGCACCAGGGCACGUUGAAAAGUGCUUGGAUGACUUGUGGGUAGCGGAGAAAUUCCAAACGAACUUGGAGAUAGCUGGUUCUCUCCGAAAUAGCUUUAGGGCUAGCGUCGACAGAAAGAUUCUUGGAGGUAGAGCACUGUUUGGGUGAGGGGUCCAUCCCGGAUUACCAAUCUCAGAUAAACUCCGAAUGCCAAUGAAUUAUGGUCGGCAGUCAGACUGCGAGUGCUAAGAUCCGUAGUCGAAAGGGAAACAGCCCAGACCACCAGCUAAGGUCCCAAAAUAAUUGUUAAGUGGAAAAGGAUGUGGGGUUGCACAGACAACUAGGAUGUUAGCUUAGAAGCAGCUAUUCAUUCAAAGAGUGCGUAAUAGCUCACUAGUCGAGUGACCCUGCGCCGAAAAUGUACCGGGGCUAAAACAAUUUACCGAAGCUGUGGAUCCUUUAGGGGAUGGUAGGAGAGCGUUCUAUGUGUGGUGAAGGUGUACCGUGAGGAGCGCUGGAACGCAUAGAAGUGAGAAUGCCGGUAUGAGUAGCGCAAGACAGGUGAGAAUCCUGUCCACCGUAAGACUAAGGUUUCCAGGGGAAGGCUCGUCCGCCCUGGGUUAGUCGGGACCUAAGGAGAGACCGAAAGGUGUAUCCGAUGGCCAACAGGUAGAGAUUCCUGUACUAGAGUAUAGAGUGAAGGAGGGACGCAGUAGGCUAACUCAAGCGUGCGAAUGGAAGAGCACGUCUAAGCAGUGAGGUGUGAUAGGAGUCAAAUGCUUCUAUCUGUAACAUUGAGCUGUGAUGGGGAGCGAAGUUUAGUAGCGAAGUGAGUGACGUCACACUGCCAAGAAAAGCUUCUAGCGUUAAUUUAUACUCUACCCGUACCGCAAACCGACACAGGUAGUCGAGGCGAGUAGCCUCAGGUGAUCGAGAGAACUCUCGUUAAGGAACUCGGCAAAAUGACCCCGUAACUUCGGGAGAAGGGGUGCUGGCUUAAAGUCAGCCGCAGUGAAUAGGCCCAAGCAACUGUUUAUCAAAAACACAGCUCUCUGCUAAAUCGUAAGAUGAUGUAUAGGGGGUGACGCCUGCCCGGUGCUGGAAGGUUAAGAGGAGUGCUUAGACGUAAGUCGAAGGUAUGAAUUGAAGCCCCAGUAAACGGCGGCCGUAACUAUAACGGUCCUAAGGUAGCGAAAUUCCUUGUCGGGUAAGUUCCGACCCGCACGAAAGGCGUAAUG